rnacentral:rRNA from 1 species
CGUGCGCGAACGGGACUUCGGUCCCUAGUAGAGCGGCGAACGGGUGAGUAACACGUGGGUAACCUGCCUGGGAGUGGGGGAUAACCUGGGGAAACUCGGGCUAAUACCGCAUACGUUCCCGGGGCUUCGGCUCCGGGAGGAAAGAUGGCCUCUGCUUGCAAGCUAUCUCUCCCAGAGGGGCCCGCGGCUGAUUAGCUAGUUGGUGGGGUAACGGCUCACCAAGGCGACGAUCAGUAGCCGGCCUGAGAGGGUGAUCGGCCACACUGGAACUGAGACACGGUCCAGACUCCUACGGGAGGCAGCAGUGGGGAAUAUUGGACAAUGGGGGAAACCCUGAUCCAGCAACGCCGCGUGGGGGAUGAAGGUCUUCGGAUUGUAAACCCCUGUUGAGAGGGACGAAGGCUUGAAGGCAAACAGUCUUCAAGCUUGACGGUACCUCGAGAGGAAGCCCCGGCUAACUCUGUGCCAGCAGCCGCGGUAAUACAGAGGGGGCGAGCGUUAUUCGGAAUUAUUGGGCGUAAAGGGCGCGUAGGCGGCCGCGUAAGUCUCGGGUGAAAUCCCUCGGCUCAACCGAGGAACUGCCCUGGAAACUGCGCGGCUCGAGGCCGGGAGAGGAUGGUGGAAUUCCCAGUGUAGCGGUGAAAUGCGUAGAUAUUGGGAGGAACACCGGUGGCGAAGGCGGCCAUCUGG